rnacentral:rRNA from 1 species
ACGAAGCUGGAUUCGCUAGUAAUCGCGCAUCAGCCACGGCGCGGUGAAUACGUUCCCGGGCCUUGUACACACCGCCCGUCAAGCCAUGGGAGCCGGGGUACCUGAAGUGCGUAACCGCGAGGAGCGCCCUAGGGUAAAACUGGUGACUGGGGCUAAGUCGUAACAAGGUAUC